rnacentral:rRNA from 1 species
UACGUAGGGGGCAAGCGUUGUCCGGAAUCAUUGGGCGUAAAGAGCGUGUAGGUGGCUCGGUAAGUCCGCUGUGAAAGUCCAGGGCUCAACCCUGGAAAGCCGGUGGAAACUGUCGAGCUCGAGUCCGGAAGAGGCGAGUGGAAUUCCUGGUGUAGCGGUGAAAUGCGCAGAUAUCAAGGAGGAACACCAAUGGCGAAGGCAGCUCGCUGGGACGGUACUGACACUGAGACGCGAAAGCGUGGGGAGCAAACAGG